UAGUAACGGCGAGUGAAGCGGGAUGAGCUCAAGCUUAAAAUCUCCGUGUAAAUUUUACAUGGCGAAUUGUAGUCUAUAGAGGCGUGGUCAGCGUGGGCACUCGGGGUAAGUUCCUUGGAAGAGGACAGCAUGGAGGGUGAUACUCCCGUUCAUCUCUGAGUCGCUCGUGCGUACGAUCCGUUUUCUUUGAGUCGCGUUGUUUGGGAAUGCAGCGCAAAGUAGGUGGUAAAUUCCAUCUAAAGCUAAAUAUUGGUGCGAGACCGAUAGCAAACAAGUACCGUGAGGGAAAGAUGAAAAGAACUUUGAAAAGAGAGUUAAAGAGUACCUGAAACUGCUGAAAGGGAACCGAAUCGUUUCCAGUGUCUAUAAUCUGUGGUAUAUUUCAUUGGCGAGUGUGUGCGUGCGUGUACUAUGGCAGUGGCUUUUUGCUGCGCUUGGUGCGUGUGUUGUGUGUGCUUGCUGGUGCCCUGUACUGCGGUGGGACGUCAAGGUCAGUUCGUAUGCUGCGGGAAAUGGCUACUGAGGAGGUAGGGCUUACGCUUGCGUUUGUCUGUUAUAUCUUGGUGGACGAGUUGUCGCGGUUGGGACUGAGGUGCCUAUAACGUGCUUGUGAGUGGAAUUGCGUCUCCGUUUGCGCCGUGUGCGGAUAGCUUGCUAUGCGUGUGUGGCUGUAUUUGGAU
rnacentral:rRNA from 1 species